AACGAACGCUGGCGGCAUGCCUAACACAUGCAAGUCGAACGAGACCUUCGGGUCUAGUGGCGCACGGGUGCGUAACGCGUGGGAACCUGCCCUUAGGUUCGGAAUAACUCCCCGAAAGGGGUGCUAAUACCGGAUAAUGUCUUCGGACCAAAGAUUUAUCGCCUUUGGAUGGGCCCGCGUUGGAUUAGCUAGUUGGUAGGGUAAAAGCCUACCAAGGCGACGAUCCAUAGCUGGUCUGAGAGGAUGAUCAGCCACACUGGGACUGAGACACGGCCCAGACUCCUACGGGAGGCAGCAGUGGGGAAGAUUGGACAAGGGGGAAAGGCCUGAGCCAGCAAUGCCGCGUGAGUGAUGAAGGCCGUAGGGUUGUAAAGCUCUUUUACCCGGGAUGAUAGUGACAGUACCGGGAGAAUAAGCCCGGGCUAACUCCG
rnacentral:rRNA from 1 species